GAUGAACGCUGGCGGCGUGCCUAAUACAUGCAAGUCGAGCGAACAGACGAGGAGCUUGCUCCUCUGACGUUAGCGGCGGACGGGUGAGUAACACGUGGAUAACCUACCUAUAAGACUGGGAUAACUUCGGGAAACCGGAGCUAAUACCGGAUAAUAUAUUGAACCGCAUGGUUCAAUAGUGAAAGACGGUUUUGCUGUCACUUAUAGAUGGAUCCGCGCCGCAUUAGCUAGUUGGUAAGGUAACGGCUUACCAAGGCGACGAUGCGUAGCCGACCUGAGAGGGUACUCGGCCACCCUGGAACUGAGACACGGUCCAGACUCCUACGGGAGGCAGCAGUAGGGAAUCUUCCGCAAUGGGCGAAAGCCUGACGGAGCAACGCCGCGUGAGUGAUGAAGGUCUUCGGAUCGUAAAGCUCUGUUAUUAGGGAAGAACAAAUGUGUAAGUAACUAUGCACGUCUUGACGGUACCUUAUCAGAAAGCCACGGCUAACUACGUG
rnacentral:rRNA from 1 species